rnacentral:rRNA from 1 species
UGCGUAGGCGGUUUAACAAGUCGGAUGUGGAAUACCCGGGCUUAACCCGGGGUGUCAUUCGAAACUGUUAAACUUGAGUGCAGAAGAGGAAAGUGGAAUUCCCAGUGUAGCGGUGAAAUGCGUAGAUAUUGGGAGGAACACCAGUGGCGAAGGCGACUUUCUGGGCUGUAACUGACGCUGAGGCACGAAAGCGUGGGGAGCAAACA